UUGUGCACCCCACCAGGGAGAGGGGCACAGAGACCAGAGGUGCAUGCAGGGGUGUUAAAGCAAUUUUAUUUCAUUCUCUACAAAUUUUGCACGUGCUGUGCCCUUUACCUAGGGGUAGUUUAGGGAAUUUCUCUCCUAGGGCAGCUCUUCCACUGCCCAGGAAUGCACCGGGAAGCUUCCCUGGUCGGAUGCAGCUCUGGAGAGAGACGCGUCCCAUCUUAGCAAAUGAGAAAAAGGCAAAAUAAGACGCUUGGACAUCUACGUCAUGGCUGGAAUUGUUCACCAGAGGUGAAAUAAGUCUGUGCUGGGAGGGUGAACCACGGAGCUGCGUGCUGGAACGUGAAUGUGGGCAGCCUCCCAGCCCCUCUGCACGCCCCUAGGUCCGGAGGAGAGGCGUGGAUGCUCGCAGUCCAGCUUAACUCUCAUCUCAGUCCCCACCAUCAUCCCUUCCCUUUCCAAAAACAAGAGGAAGAGUAACUAUUGCAAAUACCUUGCUGAUUUGCUUGCUUGUAAGGGGUUGGCUGUUGCAUACUUCUCCCAAGCCAGGCUAGAUCUGCACCUUGGUGAUCAGAAGAGCGGGGCUGGGGCUGCCGUGGCCUCAGACCUUUCAGUGGAGCUGUGAGAAUCACGCCUUGGAGCAUCGCAGGGUCCUGGAUUCACUCAUAGCACAACUUCCAGCUUCUGGCUGUUCCUGCAACUUGUGCGUUCUUCAAACGGGGGGGAAACGCCGAUGUCUCUCGCUUACCAUCACGGGCCGUUGCCCCAGCAUCAUCACCCCAUAAACAUGUCAACAGUGAAAUGCAAACCAAAUUACACUGGAGAAGCACAGCCAUAGUCAGAGCCACGUUAGCCGGGUUGCUGCUCAGCCUGUAAUUGAAACUGCAACGAGCAAAUGGUCGAGAGAGGCUGAAGGACUCCAGGGCUCCUCGUCAUGGGGUGAGAUGCAGCUCAGGGUGUGCUGGGACCUGUGCUGCACCUCUUCGUGGGCUUGGGUCCCAUGGUAGUGAUUGGUGUUCCCAGCUCAUGGGGGGAAAAAGUUACUAAUUUUGGGACAGACCAACACCCCCACCCAACCACGAGGCCAAGCAGCCUGGUGGCAGGCACAGAAGCGGCAUGGUGCACUGCUGGCCGGGCAGCCCCUUGGCUAUGGCAGCGGCAGCACUCAGCUGUCAAGACGAAGUGCCAACCCAUAAAAAAAACGUCAAGCGAAGAGCCAGGCUGCUCUCCAGGCUGCCCUCUGCAUACUAGUGGGUCCCGCGUGCCGCUGCCCAUUGUCAUCGUGGGGUCUAUGUCAUCCUUUCUUCGCUGACCCUGAUGUAUCUCCUCCACUCCGAGCCCCGCGGUGGCCGGCAGCAUGAGUCACGGCUGCCCUCCGCGGCCCUUCCCCUCCAUCCUUCUCAGCACCCAGAAAACCAGAAAUCUUACUGGAGGACAGGAAGCAUUUGCUAACACCCCAUUUAAUGCAUUUUUUUUUUUUUUUGAAGAGCAAUGGAGGAGUUGAGGGGAAAAGCAAGAAUUGCAGGAAUUGCUCAUUCCAUUUCCUGUGGUUUCAUAAUUUUGUUGCUUACCAAUUUUGAAUUUCACGAAGCUUGUGGUUUCCCAACAGCCUUCGUCUGUGGGGAGGAUACAUUUCAGUAGCAUACUGAACUGACAUGAAAUUCCAAACAAAAAUAAUAUGACAGCAAUUGGCAUUCUAAACUAUGUGAAAAAGAAAUACAAAUACCCCGCUGGCUGAGUUUGGCCCAGACGAAGGAAGCAAAGCAAAACAUCCCAAUGUCAGCAGGUUGCUUCUGAGCCCUCAGAAACUGAGAUUGUCUGAGAUCCUUGGUCCCCUUCUACGUGUGAAUUAUGGCCAAGGGUGGGCUGGGGGCGUUGUAGCCACUCUGCCCCACAACUGAGCGCUGGCUCCCGGGAGCGGAAAGCGCCCGAUUGCAUGUUGGAAAACCACCGUGUGUUUCCACUGACCGUGGGUGCUGGCAGCAGCCAGGUUGCAGUGGGUGGCAGGAAGGAAGUGGAGGGGGCUUUGGUGUGGUUUUUGCCCCCCAAAUGAAAAAGAAGAGGUUUGCACUUGGCAUCCUCUGGCUGUGUUUCUCUGCCCUUGGGGUGCACCCACAGCCCGGGGCAUGGCUCUGUGCUCACCGUGCUGGGUUGUUGCUCCACGGUGAUCACAGGCACAACGAUGAAAGGCAACCAGGAAAGAGAAACAUGUCCUGCUAAAUAAACAGAGGAGCAGGAGCAUGCUGUGAUGAUGCUUUACAUCAGCCUGGGCACAGGCAGAGACAUCACGAUGAGCAGUGCUGCUGAGCCAGGCCGGGGAUCCUCUGCACUGGGAGCUUGUGUGGAGGAGCCAGGUGGGUGCUCCAGGGAAGCUCCAUCCUGCUGCAGCCCAAGUGGGGCUUGGGGAUGCCAACAGAGGGAGUCCUGGUGGCCUUGGACCAGAUCUGUAAUGAAUGAGACCCUCUGCGAUGUUCCCUGCUGACCUCAGAAGCUGUAAGGUGAGCCUCGUGUGAUCCCGUAGUGCUGGGACAGAAUUAAAAUCUGUUCUAAGUGUCCUGCUGGAACAGUCCGCAGAUCGCAGUUGAUUCGAUACAGUAAUAGCUGCUAACAUCCUCCCCUGGAAACUGCUGGAGAUUUAGCUUGUGUUUAUUGAAAAUAAACUCAGAGGUGAAGAGAAGCCUAUUGGUGACAUGAACUUGCAGCGAAGAAAAUACAUUUGUGAGCUCAGAAUUUAUAGCCUGCCUCCAUAAAGCUGUCCAGAAUCUGUGGAUCUUUGCUUUAGAUACUCAUGUUAAAAUAAUUUUCAUUCUGUUAAAUGAAAAGUGCUUUAAGUUUGGCAGGCCUGUGCUGCUCAUGCUCUCACCACUUCAUAAAUAAUUCUUUAUAAUAACAGCUCAGAAUAAAACAAAAAAAAAAAAUGGGGGGGGGAAAGGGGGGCCAAGGUCUGCUCCAAGCUCUCCUUGUCGGCUGUAAAUACCUCUCGCUAUGAUGUCAGCGUCGCUCUGACAGCAUAUCUGCCCAAAUCACUACCACAUGUGUAGCCAGGGGAUGUGUUUUACCUGGACUUUCCAC